CACCAGCUAGGAGAUCUUAUCUCCAUAUUUGUCUUUUUGCUCAAUUUUUUACCGACCAGGAGAUUUUAUCUCCGCACUUAUCUUUUGGUUUGAUUUUUCAUCGAUCAGGAGAUCUUAUCUUUAUAUUUAUCUUUUUACUCGACUUUUUAUCGAUCAGAAGAUCUUAUCUCCAUAUUUAUCUUUUGGUCUGAUUUUUCAUCGAUUAGGAGAUCUUAUCUCCG
rnacentral:lncRNA from 1 species